CCUACGGGUGGCAGCAGUGAGGAAUAUUGGUCAAUGGCCGAGAGGCUGAACCAGCCAAGUCGCGUGAGGGAUGACGGCCCUACGGGUUGUAAACCUCUUUUGCCGGGGAGCAAAGAGCGUCACGUGUCACGCCUCGAGAGUACCCGGAGAAAAAGCAUCGGCUAACUCCGUGCCAGCAGCCGCGGUAAUACGGAGGAUGCGAGCGUUAUCCGGAUUUAUUGGGUUUAAAGGGUGCGCAGGCGGACGGUAAAGUCAGCGGUCAAAGCCCGGGGCUCAACCCCGUACCGCCGUUGAAACUGGCAGCCUUGAGUUGGAGAGAAGUAUGCGGAAUGCGCGGUGUAGCGGUGAAAUGCAUAGAUAUCGCGCAGAACUCCGAUUGCGAAGGCAGCAUGCCGGCGCCACACUGACGCUGAGGCACGAAAGCGUGGGUAUCGAACAGGAUUAGAUACCCUAGUAGUC
rnacentral:rRNA from 1 species